GCUGGGCAUGGUGGCACAUGCCUAUAAUCCCAGCUACUCUGGACGCUGAGACAGGAGGAUCACAAGUUUGAGGCCAGCCAGGUCAACUUAGUGAGAUCCUGUCUCAA
rnacentral:sRNA from 1 species